GUCAUGGGAUCCUCAUCUAUAGAAAAGGAACUGAUGUACAGAGAGCAAGAUUAAACCAGUUCCAUAAAAGUAUUUUGGUACCAAACCUCCCAUUGAUUUCUUUGAGAAAUCCUGGAGAAAAGCAUCAGAUAUCAACAGACUUGGCAAUACUGCCCAAGUGUAGAAAACAAGACUCUCUCUCUGCUGUCUGAGGUGGGGAAAAAUGCAAGACAGCAACCAACACACAGCAUGCACUGUGACAGCAGAAUGUCAGACAUCCUCCUGGUUUGAUGCAGUUUGAGGAUCACCACGGAUCUGUAAAGCAAGGUUUUAAAACCUCUACACCCUUUCUGUGUAUAAUCCCUCUGACAAUCACACUUUCUGCACCCCCAAGCAGAGGUGGUUACCUUUAUUGGCCAAGCUGACAGCCACAGAGAUUGACAUUGGAUUGCUUUGAGAAGACCAAGCUCCAAGGAGCUAUUUGCAGUUCAGAGCUUAUGAUACAGAGCAAAUUCCAAGCCUGUUAUCCAGUCUGCUCUGGCAGAAUGACAGUAUUAAAACAAAUACAGUACUGUCAUGGUCUCUAGGUCUAGAAACUUGAACGAAGUAGUAUGAAACGGCUCGCCUGAGAGCAAUUUAUGGGAUGGGAAUUCUUUGGUAGGCCAGGAGGUACAGAGAGGCUUUGACUGAGCCCUACAGGAUUUUUUAUAGCAACCUUUUGCCCUUCCAACUUUCACUGUGUCCUGAUCUGAGAACAGAGGGAGAUAAUUAGGCCAAAGGACAGAGAGUUUGACUGCUCAGAAAGCAAGUCUCUCUCACCCAUGCAGCUAUGAGAACUUAGCCCUUAUUGAGAACUUUGUACCUUAAAGCACUUUACACUACCUCCAUUGAGUAAUUAAUCUCAUACUAAUGAUCCAAUUAUUCCCAACAGCUAAUUCUCUGCCUAGGACACACUUAAGCGGUACCAGUUCUACCUAGCAAAGGGAACACUGUACAGUCUGGUCACCAGAAGCAUCAAACUUGUUUGGCUUGGCAGGCUGGGUCUGGACUGCAGGACUUCUUCCUGGCCAGACAACCCAUCUUCAGCAAUGGGACAGGUGGCCACAGCAGCAUUAACUCCCAUGUGAUACAGCAGCUCAGGCAUUAACCCCCGCAGCUGCCUUAGCUGGUCUGUCAAUGUGGGGCCACGACACCCUGCCACCAGGGCAAGGUGUCCCCAACAUGGAUCACAACAGAAAUUUGGCAACAGGGUGAUCAGGAUCCACAGGCAUAAUCCAAUCACUUAGCGUGGACAUUCUGGGGCACAAUGAGUGGUGGCCACAUUAACCACGCACAGGCUGGUCUCACAGACAGAAUUUCCAGGUCUGUGGGGCAGAUGCAGAAGUGCAUCUUCUGCAUGGCGAGAUGGGGCCCAUGGGUCACAUGCUUGACACCCCCCUCCCCUGCCCCAACCCCACCUAUGUAACCAAGUCUAGAAAGUUAAUGGCAAUGAUGUCGAAGGACUCCUAGGAAAGACCCAUUGGGCAGGGAUUUGCUGGUGGGACUGGAGUUCAGAGGGGCUUUGCCCAAGCACCACAGGGCUCAGUGUACAGGAAGGCCUGAUGAAAACCUGGCAGUCCAUUUUAUACCACUGCACCCUAAUCUGAGAACAAGGGAGGGCUACCAAAGGGCAGACAGUUUAACCCCUCUGAAGGGAAUCCCUCUCAGGCAGCCAUGCUGUUCCAUACAGCCAGGACUUAGCCCCAAGUGAGAACUUUAUUCCUUUAAAGCACUUUACACACAUUAACUAAUUAAUCCCAAACUAAUUAUCUUAUUACUCCCAACCACCAGCUUGAGGGUCUUGGCUAAGAGGAUUUUCUGGAGGGCACAAUCGCUUUAGGACCAUUAGAAACAUUGGUUGUGGCUCAAGUUUGGCUGUGCUAUGUGGUGGGGUGGGCAGAAGAUAGGAAAUAGCUGACUCCACACAAUUCACAAACAGCACGUGGGUCCCACCACACGUAGGACCUGCUUCUGGGAUGUUCUCAGGCAGCUAUCAGCUUUCAAGCUCCAUCUGCUACCACCUAAUAGAGCCUGCAAAAUGGGUUGGCCACUCUUCCAAAUUCCCAGGUUUCUCUGUGCACAGCUAUCCCAAAAUGCAUUGCAAACUAGCUCUCUUUCCCAGGCUGGGCCCAGAGGCUCUGGAGCAGAGCUGGGGAUGCUACUUUCACACAGGUGUCAAAGUGUGAAAGCUGUAACAGCAGAAUUUAGCAGAGGUUGAGCCUAAUUAAGCUCAUAGUAAGGAGCAUCUUUAAGGCUUUUGCUUCUCAGGAUAUAACUGGGGGGACAGGAGGUCCUGCAGACCCCAUCAGGGAGCCUGGGAUACUUGCAGA